CAUCGCCUCUUGAUUUAAUAUAAGAGGUCCAGCCUGCCCAGUGACAUAGUUUAACGGCCGCGGUAUCCUAACCGUGCAAAGGUAGCAUAAUCACUUGUUCUUUAAAUAGGGACUAGUAUCAACGGCAUCACGAGGGUUGCACUGUCUCCUCUCUUUAAUCAGUGAAACUGAUUUCCCCGUGAAGAAGCGGGGAUAUAUUUAUAAGACGAGAAGACCCCAUGGAGCUUAAAACCCAAUAUACACCUCUAAGCAUACCUUACCACACAAAUCAUAGAGCUUUGUAUACUGGUUUUAGGUUGGGGGGACCACGGAGUAAAACAUAACCUCCAUGACAAACGGGCCAAAGCCCUUACCCAAGAAUUACAAUUCUAAGAAUCAACAAGCUGAUGUUUAAUGACCCGAUUAUUCGAUCAACGAACCAAGUUACCCUGGGGAUAACAGCGCAAUCUACUUCAAGAGUCCCUAUCGACAAGUGGGUUUACGACCUCGAUGUUGGAUCAGGGUGUCCUAGUGGUGCAACCGCUACUAAAGG
rnacentral:rRNA from 1 species